rnacentral:rRNA from 1 species
CCUACGGGGGGCUGCAGUGAGGAAUAUUGGUCAAUGGGCGCGAGCCUGAACCAGCCAAGUCGCGUGAGGGAGGACGGCCCUACGGGUUGUAAACCUCUUUUGCCGGGGAGCAAAGGGCGUCACGUGUGGCGCCACUGAGAGUACCCGGAGAAAAAGCAUCGGCUAACUCCGGGCCAGCAGCCGCGGUAAUACGGAGGAUGCGAGCGUUAUCCGGAUUUAUUGGGUUUAAAGGGUGUGUAGGCGGAUCGUUAAGUCAGUGGUCAAAUGGAGGGGCUCAACCCCUUCCCGCCAUUGAAACUGGCGUUCUUGAGUGGAAGAGAAGUAUGCGGAAUGCGUGGUGUAGCGGUGAAAUGCAUAGAUAUCACGCAGAACCCCGAUUGCGAAGGCAGCAUGCCGGCUUCCGACUGACGCUGAAGCACGAAAGCGUGGGGAUCGAACAGGAUUAGAUACCCGGGUAGUC